rnacentral:rRNA from 1 species
GACGAACGCUGGCGGCGUGCUUAACACAUGCAAGUCGAACGGGAAGGACCUGCAACUGUGUGUCGCUCGAGUGGCGAGCGGGUGAGUAACACGAGACUAACCUGCCCAUGGCUACGGGAGAACUACAGGAAAGUGGGGCUAAUACCGGAUAGGAGCUCCAGCUGCAAGGUGGGGGUUGGAAGGUCUCGGCGGUUGUGGAGGGAUUCGCGGCGUAUCAGCUUGCUGGUGGGGUGGUGGCUUACCAAGGCUGUGACGGGUAGCCGGUCGGUGGGGGGGACCAGCCACAAUGGGACUGAGGAGACGCCGCGACGACUCCGAGGGGCAGCAGUAGGGGAUAAUUCACAGUGAGGGGAGGCCGGAUGAAGCAACGCCGCGGGCGGGAGGACGACGUCCGGGUUGUCGACAACUUUCGCCUCUGAAGAAGAGUCAGUGACGGUAAUGGGUAAAGAAGCACCGGCUAACUACGUG